rnacentral:rRNA from 1 species
AUUCACGGAGAGUUUGAUCCUGGCUCAGGACGAACGCUGGCGGCGUGCUUAACACAUGCAAGUCGAACGAUGAACCACUUCGGUGGGGAUUAGUGGCGAACGGGUGAGUAACACG